rnacentral:lncRNA from 1 species
GUCUUUAUCUCUGUUGGUAGUUGGUACGGACGCAAUCGUACAUGUAAGGCAUUUGCCAAAUUCAGGAAACCUAAUCAACCAAAAUCGAUUUCAUCGUCUUCUCUAUCUCUUUCUCUCUUCAUCGUCAUUCAUCAUCAUCAUGAUCAUCAUUCAUCAUCAUCAACAUCAGCAUCAUCAUCAUCAUCAUCAUCAUCAUCAUCAUCAUCAUCAUCAAAUCUCAGGAUCUUCAAGGUGGUUCUUCUCGUUCGUAGCUACCUUCUAGACUGUGAUUUCCAAUCUUUGAACUCUCGGUGAGUUUCUAGGUUGGGUUUUAUCUUCCUUUCGGAAAUCCCGUCACACCUCCGCUUUCAGAAUUAGAUCAAUUUCAUUAGCUUAUCAGUUUUAAUCAAUUUGGGUAACAACAGAGGAUUGUCAACCUAGCAAAUCCCUAAUCAAGAGUUUCUUCAAAUUCAGUGUGUCAAUAUAAUCGAGCAAUUAGUGAAGUAGGCGAGAUUGUUGGUGAAUCCUAUUUUCACGUUUUACUACAUGAGAUAUAUCUUCACCUUCGAUCAAUUCAUGUCGUUCGGAAUGUUAACUAUUGUGGUUAGUGAUAGCAUCUUCCUAUCUCAGUUCUUCGAUUUGUGGUUUUUUACAUAUAGACCAAAGUCACGGUCUUUUUUUGUUCUUUUCACAAUUUGUUUUUUUAUCAGAAUUUGCAGAUAUUUAACCAAAGAAACAACAGAUAAAUGUUCUGUUUCUUGAAGGUGAGUUCUUCACAAAACUGGAUGGUUCGAUAUGAAGCAGAUAGUACGCUCUUUAUAUUCAUACAUCAAAUGCCUUUUGGACCAAGAACUAUAAGGUUAGUUGUCGACGAAGCUAUAUUUUAAUACAACUUUUCUCAUGUUAUAAUUCGUCUAAUAAACAUCUUGGCAAACAUGCAUCAUUGGUUUAGGAUCGGAAUAACUUUACCUCAAUCAUCUCAAAGACCCCUUUGAUGGUUUCUUUUGUUCCCUGCCAAAUUACAAAAAUAAAUAUUUUCAUUUUAAAAUGAUACAAAUCAAUGUUAUACAAACUUGCUUUUGAAGGAUUUAUUUAAAAAGCUUACAUGUCGAAGGUUUCACCAAAUUUUGUGGUGUAUGUCUUUCAGGUACGAAAAACUAUCACUUGGAUUGGUCGUAAAUGUUUUCCAUGUAUGCAAGACACUGACUUGCACUUACCAACCCGUUUUGUACGGCUUCACAUCAUCAAUGAAAGCAAAAGAUGAGACAUUGUCAAAAGGAGAAGAAAGAGACGUUUGCUGUGAAUAGAGGUAAUUGCUGGAUGAAAAUGGUAUAUGAGAAUGACGUUAAUAUAUAGUGUAGAAGGAGGGUAGGGUUUUUGGCUCCAGUAUCUUCGAAAAUCUUGGAGAGAAACUUAAAAUAUCUUAAAUAUUAACGAAAAUAUAUUUUUUAGAAGGUAUCGAAAUGAAUGAUACACGGAUUUAAGGAAAGUAAGGAUAUUGAGUAGUAGGUUAUAGUUAGGAUUUAAGAAGAGAGAAGAUUUUAGAAAUAUUUGAUUAUCAAUUAGGCGAGAUUCAUAGAUAUCUUCUUAUAAUUAGUGCGAAUAUGCUUUUAUAAGAUACCAUAAACGAUGAAUGGUUAGGAUUGCAUGUUAUAUUUUUGUAGAUGAUCAAACCCGAUUACUUAUCCGUUUUAGUAUUUGAACCACUAAUCACCCGUUUAGGAAACGC